AUUGAACGCUGGCGGAAUGCUUUACACAUGCCAGUCGAGCGGCAGCGCGGCCUUCGUGCUGGCGGCGAGCGGCGAACGGGUGAGUAAUGCAUCGGAACAUGCCCAGUCGUGGGGGAUAACACUUCGAAAGAAGUGCUAAUACCGCAUACGUCCUGAGGGGGAAAGCGGGGGAUCGCAAGACCUCGCCCGAUUUGAGUGGCCGAUGUCAGAUUAGCUAGUUGGUGGGGUAAAGGCCUACCAAGGCGACGAUCUGUAGCUGGUCUGAGAGGAUGAUCAGCCACACUGGGACUGAGACACGGCCCAGACUCCUACGGGAGGCAGCAGUGGGGAAUUUUGGACAAUGGGGGCAACCCUGAUCCAGCCAUGCCGCGUGAGUGAAGAAGGCCUUCGGGUUGUAAAGCUCUUUCGGCAGGAACGAAACGGUGGGCUCUAACAUAGUCCGCUAAUGACGGUACCUGAAGAAGAAGCACCGGCUAACUACGUG
rnacentral:rRNA from 1 species